AUCGAUCAAAACUAGUCGCCGAUUGAUUUUCUGUAGAUCAAAUCGUUCUUUAAUUGUUUAAUUGUUGUAGCUCUUUUUGUUAUCGUUAGCAUGUUAGAAGCUAAUAUUAGCAUUAACGUUUGUAUUUACCUGCCUCAUGGAGCAGCUAGCUUUUCUUUCUACAAAAAUGUUCUAUUCUUCUGCUGUGUGUGUGUUUUGUUCUUAAGUAGUGCAGUGCCCGUUCAAAUCAUGCCUGUCUGAAUGGCCUGAUAGUUCGGGUUGUGAUAUUGCUGCAUGUUGUUUAUCGAAAACCGUUCAUUCAAACAGCUUCACACUCGAUAUUGCCCUUCCUUUGCUUCUGAGCGAUACAGCUGCUUUGACAUAGACGCGUCCCCUGGCAAUGCUAGAGUGUACGCAUCAUUUACUAACAGCUAGCUAUUUGGGAACAGAUGCAUUCAAUCUGAAAGUUACAUCGCUGAUCUUUUAAGUGUUUAAUUAGAGUGGAAUUUCUAACUUUGAUACAAUAUCUUGAAAAACAUUUGAUAUUCAACAAUAUUUUCAAUACCAUGGGAAAACCUGACAUUGACGGCAAUUUAGAUUUUUUAUUAAAAGAUGAACACAGCAAGGCUAAAACAUGACGACAACUUGUCUUUCCUUGGUCAUAUGCAGAGAACAGCAGAAUGACUGAUAAGAGAAGGCAAAAAAGCGUAGCCGGUACCGUUGUAUCAAUACAGCUGAAUAUUCAGAAUGGAUAUGUAUCUGUAAAUCAAUGUUUUGCCAGUAUUACCACAGUGUAACAUCUCCAGUCUCUCCGUCUUCAUCUGUUCUUGGAUGUACUGUAGCGAUCGAUAAAAAGCAAGCUGUACCCAGCAUGCCAUUCGACGGUGUCCCCUCUCAAUACACUACACAGUGUGUGCAUAACAUACUACUAAUGACUAUGUCCUGUAGAUCUCAAGAGCUCGCCUUGGGUCCUCAGCUAUACACACACCAAGUGUGAAGUCGAUCAGAUGAAUGGUUGUCGAGAAAAUUGAAGGACAGACGGACAGAGACUUCUUCCAUUUUAGUUAGAUUGUUUGUCUUUUUUACAAAGCAUGUCAGGGUUAUACGUGGUCAUAGCCAUACGGUAUGUGAGCCCUGGCAAACAGAGUGACCAGAGCGGUCUCUAUUUGACAAGUAGAGAGGUGACCGAACCUUCAUCACAUCUCAGGUCAGGUGACCAGUGGGCCAAAUCCCCCCCAAAACUCAUUCUUUAACUCCACUGGUGUGGAGUCAGGAGUUUGCCUCCAGAAGGAGAUAAAAGACAACAUCGUCCUGCCUGUGCUCUGCUCAACUUAAAUCUACAGUAUGUAAACCCACGAGGAAUUUCAUGAAUGCUGUCAGUGCCCUGUGUCGGAGGGAUGACUAAGCUGCUUUCACUCCACCAGCUCCACCUGGACUCGACUGUGAAAUCCGCUCAUAGGAACCAAAUGGUACCGUCUUUGAGUUUGGAUUCAAGCGACUGUCGAUGGCUUUAUUAUGUGUAUAUGUUGGACCAGGAAACACUUUAAAAUCUACAAAACGGACUGCAACCACCAGCGUUAUGUGCCCACACUUGAUGUUAAACAAAAUUCAAGAAGAAGUCUUUUCUGACAAAGCAGAGAAACCUGAGACAUUGCUCCGGACUCCGCCCACGUCGGUGUACAGUUGACCCCAGAUUAACCUCCCAGGUAAAUAUAAUCCUCCUCUGUAUCACCUCUCACUCCUCAUACCGGCCUAUGAACACACGGGGAUGCCAAGGUCUGGCGACAGUCGGCAGCCAAUGAAAGACGAGUGUGAGUUUUUCUUUUCCUGUCCUGCAUGGAAAUAGAAGAAAACAGUCCCAGCAUGCAGGCUGCUAUCAGCGCAUCUGCUGUCCCUUCCAGACUCUUCUCUCUCUCUCACACACACACACACUUUAACUCAUCGAGGCCUGCGAGGUCUCACACACCAAAGUUUCUGUCUGUCUUUAUCUGUCACUGUCUGUCUCUGUUUCUAGAUACAAAUCACAACCACUCAUGCAAAGACAAAAAAAAAAAGGUCCAGCUCGGUUCCAGUUCAUCUCCUGGACAAGUGUGAACAAAAUGUCAACAGUUUCCAGUCCACCCACAUUCACACACACCUCUCACCGGAGCAGGCGAGAGGCCAAAAGGUCAACAGUUGACAACAGGCGACGCUCUGCAAUCGAUUGUCCUAUUGAACAGUGUGAAGACCCUCAGCUCAGAUAAACUUUAACUUGUGACAACCUGCGACCCCUCCUCAGAAGUUUAGAUCUGCCAGCAAAGAGUUGAUCUUCAGUGCCACCUCCUCUCGCAUGAAAAUAUCUGGGUACCGGGUUUUGGCGAACAGAGCCUCCAGGACGUCGAGCUGAGAGCGGGUGAAGGUGGUCCGCUCCCGACGCUGCUUCCU